rnacentral:lncRNA from 1 species
GACAACCUAAACCUAAUGCGAAAAAGAAACAGAAAAAGAAAUAGCUCGUUGCCUAGGGAAAACCCUUACCCGUCCCAUCCUUUAAGUCGGCACCAAUGACUGACGGUUUCCAUUUCCCAAAAAAUUUCCAAAUUCCCAUCCCUGCAUCCAGAAGCUUUAUUUCCUCAAGACCAGAUCUGCAAAGCCUUUGUUUCACACAAGGACUCAAAAUUUGAUCUCUUCCACAAGCCUCAAUCAGGUUCGCGAAUCCAAUUGUCUACUAGAAUCUUCACAGCGUAUCUCGGGACAGAACUCCUCAGGUAAAACUCCUCACCUUUUCUCAAACUUACAGAAGCUAUAGUGUCAGCAAGCUUGUUCGCUGAUCUUCUAACAUGCAUGAAACAAAUCUUCCGAAAAUUCCCUAAAAUGCUCUUAAUGUUUCGAAUAUUGAGAGAAAUUUCUGACUUAUCUAUGGAGACUGAUUUACAUUUUUUAAUAGUCGAAAGUGAAUCUCCAUCUAAAAUUAUUUCUGUUAUGCUCAAAUCGAUCCCCAUUUGAGCUGCCCCAAAGCAGGCGAGGGCCUCCGCUGCAAAAGCCAAGCCAACAUUCUCGUGUAUAGUUGAACCGGAGGCAAUCACUCUCUCCCUUGCGUUUCUGGCAAUAAACCCCAACCCUGACCGAAAAAGAGCCCUGUUAAAUGCCACGUCAAAGUUGAUCUUGACCUACUCCCCAGAAGGGGCCUCCCAUCUUGCAAUGCCGACCACCCUUGUAUGCAUCAUUUCCUCGAUGCCAUCUAAACAAAUAAAUCUAUGAAUAAAGUUAGAGCUCUCUCUGCCUGACUGAAUCAUAUGCUCAUUAACUCUUUUAUUUCUUGCAGUCCACAGAUCCCAAAGGGUAAGACAAGAAAUUCGGCACUGCCAUGUUGAACAAAUGUUAAGAACCCAGGUAAGCUACUCAAACCACCCUUGAUUUACAUUAGAGAGAACAACUAAUAACCCCAGUAAUCCCCAGACUUCACUGGCAACAGGGCAACCACGAAAGACAUGCGCUAAGGUUUCAACUCCAUCCCUGCAUCUAGGGCAUAUUACAGUCCUUGAUAGUCUUUUAAAAUACAAGUUUGACAUAGAUGGGAUAAAAUUGUUUGAAAUACGCCAAACUGUAAUUCUAAUUUUAGAAGGUAGAUUAAGGCCCCAUAGUCUUCGACAGAACAUUCUAAUCGAGGUCUGUAAUUCCUCUAAAUUAGGAUCAUAGGUUUCAGCUUGUAAUAGUUUAUAGACACUUCUAAUAGCGAACUCUCCAGAAGGUUCACUUCUCUACACCAGCUCAUCAUCAUGCAGGAUUUUUGCGAGCGGAAUUCAGAGAAUCCUGGCGUCAUCAACGGCAUCAAAAACAUCAAUAAUAAUCUCACUUCUCCAUUCUCUAUUAGCACUAUUGAUGAGCUCGGCAACUAAUUCCAUAUUACAAUUAAGAACUGGAUAAGAAAUUUUAUAAUUAACGGAACUCGGGAUCCAUGCAUUAUAUAAGAUAUAGAUAUUGUUGCUCGUACCUACCCUCCAGCAUAGACCAUCUUGUAAUAUUUUCUUCGCUGCCCGGAUACUUCUCCAUGUAUAGGACGCUCCUGCCUUCAAACUUGAGUUAAGAAAAUCCGAAUUUGGGUAAUAUUUUGCUUUCAACACCCUACCCAUUAAUGAAUCAGGAUUUGAAAUAAGUCUCCACCCUUGUUUGGCGAGGAUGGCCACAUUAAAUUUAGCUAAGCUUCUAAAACCCAAACCUCCAUCCUCCUUUAACUUGCACGGUUUACCCCAUUCACACCAAUGCAUUCCUUUUUUGCCACCAAAAUCGUACUACAAUACUCUCCAUUUCCUCACACAAAGAUUUUAGAAGAAGGAAACAAUACAUUGAAUAGGUUGGAAUGGCCUAUAAAACAGACUUAAUAAACACCUCUUUGCCCCUUAGAAUAAAAACAUAGUACUCCAACUAUCAAUCUUCUACUUUAUACGAGCUUUCAAAAUUAGAAGAGAGGCUUUUUUUUCUUUCGGCGCACCAUAUUAGGGAGACCCAAAUAUUUCUUUGGGUUAUUCGAAUACCUCAUCCUCAAAGCACUUGAAAUUUGUACUUGCAUCAAUUCACAAGUAUUUGUAUUGAAGAAGAUCGUGGACUUAUCAAAGUUCACACAUUGUCCCGAACUAACUUCAUACUCCCUCAAAAUAUUUUUUAAGACAGCAACUCCUUUUAUUGUCGCCCCUCAAAAAAUUAUACAGCCAUCUGCAAAAAGAAUAUGGGAAACCCGUGGCUCGGUCUUACUCGCCUUAACU